UGACGGGAGAUAACUCUGAUGCUUUCGAUGACGUCACGGUUUAGGGAAGUUAGCUAAAAACUGAAAAUGGCGGAGGCAGCAGUGGAAAUACCGACUAAUUUUGAUCGGUUCUAUUGUCAUUCAUGUACAAAAGAAAUUACCCCCGACCUACCUGAUUAUACCUGUCCACAAUGUGCUGAUGGAUUUGUUGAGCAGAUCAGCAAAGAACAAAACAAUACAUCUCAAUCAUCAACACAAGGCAGUGACCCAGAAUCUUUAUUUGAUGCUAUGAGGUCAAGUUUUGUGGACCAUAUGGAGCAUUUGUCAGUUCCAAGCCCAGAAAAUGAUUCUACACCAACUCUUAUUUCAAUACAUCAUCAAAAUCCACAAAGAGUAACAAUAGAACAUAGAGCUCAACCUAGGAAUGUUCAGAUGCAUGGAUUAGUUAAUUAUUUCUUAUCCCAGUUAACCCAAAUGGAUACUGGAAUUCAUAUGCCAGGAGGGGGAAUGUUCCAGUUACAUGGUAAUCCUGCUGAUUAUGCCUGGGGAGCUCAUGGUUUAGAUUCAAUUAUAUCACAGCUUUUAAACCAGUUAGAAGGUUCUGGAGCACCACCUGCUCCUGAAGAAAAAAUUGAUGCUCUUCCGUUAGUUAAAAUAGCUGAACACCAAAUUGGAUUCAUUGAAUGGUUACAGAUUUUUUACUGGAUUUCAAUGAAUGGUUUCAAAUUUUUUACUGCAUUAUUUCAAGCUAGAAGAUUGAAAUGGAGCCCCGAAGAGAUAUCAGAACUGCAAAUGUUUCUUCAAAGAAAAUUUGAAUAGAAAACCCACCCCGGGGCGGGCCCAAAUUGAGUCUGUCCUGAACAAAUCGAAAAAAUUAAAAUUUAGAAAAUAGGAAACCAUCAAAUAAAAGUGUGGAAUAUGGUACAAAAGCAGUAAUUUUUUGUUAUGACUAAACGACAAUUCCACGGUAACAGAAUAAAGUCUAAAUUUUCUUAGAAUUUUAAUAUUCUGUAGAAUUUUCUUCAAAUAAACCUGUUGAAUAGA